rnacentral:rRNA from 1 species
AUCAACUUUCGAUGGUAGGAUAGAGGCCUACCAUGGUGGUAACGGGUAACGGGGUGUUAGGGCACGACACCGGAGAGGGAGCCUGAGAAACGGCUACCACAUCCAAGGAUGGCAGCAGGCGCGCAAAUUACCCAAUCCCGACACGGGGAGGUAGUGACAAUAAAUAACAAUACGGGGUCCUUUCGGGUUUCGUAAUUGGAAUGAGUACAAUUUAAAUCUCUUAACGAGGAACAAUUGGAGGGCAAGUCUGGUGCCAGCAGCCGCGGUAAUUCCAGCUCCAAUAGCGUAUAUUAAAGUUGUUGCAGUUAAAAAGCUCGUAGUUGAAUUUCGGGAUUAGUACGUCGGUCGUGCCUUCGGUACGUACUGGUGUUACUGAUUCCUACCUUCUGACGAACCAUCAUGUCAUUAAUUUGGUGUGGCGGGGAAUCAGGACUGUUACUUUGAAAAAAUUAGAGUGUUUAAAGCAGGCUCGCGCUUGAAUACAUUAGCAUGGAAUAAUGAAAUAGGACGUUGACCCUAUUUUGUUGGUUUCUAGGAUUGACGUAAUGAUUAAUAGGGAUAGUUGGGGGCAUUAGUAUUCAAUUGUCAGAGGUGAAAUUCUUGGAUUUAUUGAAGACUAACUACUGCGAAAGCAUUUGCCAAGGAUGUUUUCAUUAAUCAAGAACGAAAGUUAGGGGAUCGAAGACGAUCAGAUACCGUCGUAGUCUUAACCAUAAACUAUGCCGACUAGGGAUCGGAUGAUGUUAAUUUUUUAAUGACUCAUUCGGCGCCUUACGGGAAACCAAAGUGUUUGGGUUC